AUCAUUACCGAGUGAGGGCCCUCUGGGUCCAACCUCCCACCCGUGUUUAUUUUACCUUGUUGCUUCGGCGGGCCCGCCUUAACUGGCCGCCGGGGGGCUUACGCCCCCGGGCCCGCGCCCGCCGAAGACACCCUCGAACUCUGUCUGAAGAUUGUAGUCUGAGUGAAAAUAUAAAUUAUUUAAAACUUCCAACAACGGAUCUCUUGGUUCCGGCAUCGAUGAAGAACGCAGCGAAAUGCGAUACGUAAUGUGAAUUGCAAAUUCAGUGAAUCAUCGAGUCUUUGAACGCACAUUGCGCCCCCUGGUAUUCCGGGGGGCAUGCCUGUCCGAGCGUCAUUGCUGCCCUCAAGCACGGCUUGUGUGUUGGGCCCCGUCCUCCGAUCCCGGGGGACGGGCCCGAAAGGCAGCGGCGGCACCGCGUCCGGUCCUCGAGCGUAUGGGGCUUUGUCACCCGCUCUGUAGGCCCGGCCGGCGCUUGCCGAUCAACCCAAAUUUUUAUCCAGGUUGACCUCGGAUCAGGUAGGGAUACCCGCUGAACUUAAGCAUAUCAAUAAGCGGAGGA
rnacentral:rRNA from 1 species